rnacentral:lncRNA from 1 species
GCUCUGGCCAUGUCCAUUGACAUCUGGCCCCCACGGGGCUCCCCGAGCCCCUGCAGUGCCACAGUUCUCUGAGGCAGGAGGGGAUCCCAGCAUGCCAUGGAAACAGUUCCCAUCUCUGUUUGCUUCUAGAUGAGGACACUGGGAAUGCUUCUCCAUUGGAUUGGCUGCAUGAAGUUUUGGGGCCCUUGAUGUCCCCUGCAGGUAAAGUGUCAUUUUCCCUCAAAGAUCAAUUACUCGAAAUUCUAAACCCAAUAAAUGUCACAAGAGCCAGAUGACAGAAGUUUCUCUGGUUAUUGAAUUACAGGCGUAUCUGCAUGGAGGACUUUUCCAGCUCCUCUGCUGGUUGUUCCACACAAGCCCAGCUCACAUGGUCCUCCAAGAGGCAAGAACCCACCUCCAGGUGAAAAGAAAUCCCAGGAGCCAUCUGAAGAUGCAGCCGGUGCCACAACACGUGCUCCCAAGAUCCAGGAGAGCACUGGGAGAGAUUUCUGUCAGGGAACACACUGUUUGAUUGUGAUAAUGGCAAGCAUGUUGGGUGGGCUGCUUGCCAUCAUGUCAUGCUGUGCUGGAAUCUGGUACUGGAGGGUGAGAAAACGGCAAGAGAGCAGCCUUGCUCCUGCUCCAGAGCAGCCAAACACCUCGGGCAGGAAGAGCAGGACCUCUCACCUUCACUCUUUGUACCCUUGCUCAGCUGCGUUGCCGCGGCUGCAGCACCUGCUUUUUGAUGUCAAGGUCCAGCUGCCACCAAAACGUUCCUCUCUGCCUCUAAACCCACUGAUCGCACCCUAUGAUGAGGACUGAAGUUGGUCCUUUCCUGCCCACCCCUUUUAUUCAAAU